AGGUGGCAGAGCUAAUUGAAAAGUAUCUGGUGCUAAUAGGAUGCGCUGCUAUUGAAGAUAAGCGUCAAGAAGGGAUGCCAGCUUGUAUAGAAACUCUAUUUUUAGCUGGAAUGAAGAUUUGGGUGCUAACAGGGGAUAAAAUUGAAACUGCAAUAAAUAUAGCCUAUGCAUGCAACUUGAUCAAUAAUGACAUGAAGCAAUUCAUUAUCAGUUCAGAAACUGAUGCAAUUAGGGAGGCUGAAUAAAGGGGGGACACUGUAGAGAUUGCGCGUGUUAUUAGAGACUCAGUAAAACAGGAUCUGAACCGAUGCCUUGAGGAAGCUCAGCAAUACUUGCGUACUAUAUCAGGAAUGAAGUUGGCCCUUAUAAUUGAUGGGAAAUAUUUGAUGUAUGCACAGGACCCAAAUUUACGUGCGAAUCUGCUCAAUUUGAGCUUGAAUUGUAGUUCUGUAGCUUGUUGUCGUGUUUCUCCACUACAAAAGGCACAGGUAAAGUUUGUCCUUUCUAAGCGUGAGUGGCUAGAAUUAAUUUCAUGGAUUAUGUUCCGUGUAUACACACACUUACACAUGCGGACAUGGUUUACAAAAUUGAUGUUUUCCUUUUGGCAGUGUAGCAUCGAUAGUUGAGAUUUUUGAGGAAUGAUACACAUUUUACAUAAUCAGCAUUAUGAAAUGCAUAUUAUUGUAC